CUGGAAGUGGGCGGGGCCUGGAGAUGGGGCCCAAACUAGCUGGCUGUGGGCGGCGCCGGAGGGGUGCGGAAGAGAUGAAGUAAGACCGAGCGCCGGGUCCUUUCACUUUCAAGGGAACCUGAACCUGCCUAAGAGACUGGAUUCCUGAGCACGAAGCAGAGUCUGAAAUGAAUCCCGCCUGGCUCUGCCAGGCCAGCAGUUAUAGCUACACUUCUGUUGUUUGAUGACCUCCGUCUCUUGCUUCAAAAGGAAGAAAAAUCAAAGUCUCUGCUUAAAUAUCACUUCCUGGGACUUCUCUGGUGAUCCUGUUGGUUAAGACUCCACGCUCCCAAUGCACGGGGGGCCUGGGUUCCAUCCCUGGUCAGGGAACUAGAUCCCUCAUGCCGCAACUAAAGAUCCCAUAUGCUGCAAAUAAGACCUGGU